rnacentral:rRNA from 1 species
UACGGAGGGUGCGAGCGUUGUCCGGAAUCAUUGGGCGUAAAGGGCGCGUAGGUGGCCCGGUCAGUCCGUGGUGAAAGCGCGGGGCUCAACCCUGCGUCGGCCAUGGAUACUGCCGCGGCUCGAGCACUGUAGAGGCAGGCGGAAUUCCGGGUGUAGCGGUGGAAUGCGUAGAGAGUCCGGAAGAACACCGGUGGCGAAGGCGGCCUGCUGGGCAG